rnacentral:rRNA from 1 species
AAUAGCCUUUCGGGUGCGAUUCUGUGGAGUUUGAGGAGCUUAACACCUUCAUGCUUUGCAUAUUCGUGCUCUUGGGUGUACUUGCCCGUGUGGUUGGUUAACAUCAAUUUCGGGCACCAUAAAAUGGCUGGAGGAAUGUAGCUUCGAUCUUGUAUUGAAGUGUUAUAGCCUUCGGUAGAUGUGGUGAUCGAGAUUGAGGAUUGCAACGGAUACCUUUCGGGGCUACCUGUCUGAUCUCUGAUCGUUGCUUUGGUGCUGAAAGCGUGCUUAUAGUUAUCAAAGUCGAUGGUCAAUAGGUUAGAAUGGGUAAAUUCGUUAAGGAUGUUGACGUAAUGGCUUU